AGUGAACGCUGGCGGUAGGCCUAACACAUGCAAGUCGAACGGCAGCACAGUAAGAGCUUGCUCUUACGGGUGGCGAGUGGCGGACGGGUGAGGAAUACAUCGGAAUCUACUUUUUCGUGGGGGAUAACGUAGGGAAACUUACGCUAAUACCGCAUACGACCUACGGGUGAAAGCAGGGGAUCUUCGGACCUUGCGCGAUUGAAUGAGCCGAUGUCGGAUUAGCUAGUUGGCGGGGUAAAGGCCCACCAAGGCGACGAUCCGUAGCUGGUCUGAGAGGAUGAUCCGCCACACGGACUCAGAGACGCGGCCGAGACCUCCAGGAGAGGGAGGAGGGGAGUAUAGGAGACAGGGGGCGAAACUGUGCCAGCGAUACAGCGUGUGUGUAAAGAGGCCUCGCGGGUUGUAACGCUUUUUUGGGGGAAGAAAAAAAGAGCAGUUUUAUCCCGCGGUGUUGUGACGGUACCAAAAGUAUACGCCCCCUCACUCCGUG
rnacentral:rRNA from 1 species